rnacentral:rRNA from 1 species
CCUAGUCGCCGGCGGGCGGGACGGAGCCGGCUCCCCCGAUCGCGGGAUCGCCGCGCGCGCGGGUACGGGGAGGGAGCGAGGGCGCGGCGGGCGGGCGGCGAGGAGGCGCGCGGCCAUACGGCGGGGGGAGGGGAGAGGGCCGAGCUGCUGGUGGGGGUGGAGAGGGCCGGUGAGGCCGCCCGGAGAUUUGCCGCCGCAUGGGAUCCGGCGGUCGACGGGUGGAGCCGCGCGAGCGCCAUGCUCGUCGGCGCACGCGGCGGGGAAGGGGAGACGGCGAGAGGAAAUCAGUGAGUGUAGGGGAGUGUGGUGAGUGAGUGGGGA